GUGGGGAAUAUUGGACAAUGGGCGAAAGCCUGAUCCAGCCAUGCCGCGUGUGUGAAGAAGGUCUUCGGAUUGUAAAGCACUUUAAGUUGGGAGGAAGGGUAGUAACCUAAUACGUUGCUACUUUGACGUUACCGACAGAAUAAGCACCGGCUAACUUCGUGCCAGCAGCCGCGGUAAUACGAAGGGUGCAAGCGUUAAUCGGAAUUACUGGGCGUAAAGCGCGCGUAGGUGGUUCAGUAAGUUGGAAGUGAAAUCCCCGGGCUCAACCUGGGAACUGCUUUCAAAACUGCAUGACUAGAGUACGGUAGAGGGUAGUGGAAUUUCCUGUGUAGCGGUGAAAUGCGUAGAUAUAGGAAGGAACACCAGUGGCGAAGGCGACUACCUGGACUGAUACUGACACUGAGGUGCGAAAGCGUGGGGAGCAAACAGGAUUAGAUACCCGUGUAGUCC
rnacentral:rRNA from 1 species